CAUUAGAUGGCUGAAUCGCAAGUACUGGUCUCUUAAACCAUCUAAUAGUAGCCCGCAACUACUUCUAAUGA
rnacentral:tRNA from 1 species